GAAUCUUGCGCAAUGGGCGAAAGCCUGACGCAGCCAUGCCGCGUGAAUGAUGAAGGUCUUAGGAUUGUAAAAUUCUUUCACCGGGGACGAUAAUGCCGGUCACAGGAGUAGAAGCCCCGGCUAACUUCGAGCCAGCAGCCGCGGUAAUACGAAGGGGUCUAGCGGUGCUCGGAAUUACUGGGCGUAAAAGGCGCUGAGGCGGAGCGUUAAGUCAGAGGUGAAAUCCCGGAGCUCAACUUCGGAAUUGCCUUUGAUACUGGCGAUCUUGAGUGUGAGAGAGGUAUGUGGAACUCCGAGUGUAGAGGUGAAAUUCGUAGAUAUUCGGAAGAACACCAGUGGCGAAGGCGACAUACUGGCUCAUUACUGACGCUGAGGCGCGAAAGCGUGGGGAGCAAACAG
rnacentral:rRNA from 1 species